AUGCCACCUAAUACAAGAGGGGUUAUUGCUCCCCUCAUACAACACCCUAUGAACACAGAAAAUGACACGGAAGAUGUUGGAGUUCAGGUUAAAAAUCAGUUAACUAGAGAACUCUGUGCAACUGCUCCUGUGCUGCUGUCUCUCUACUUCCACCUGUGUCUCUGCUGCCCGCCCCCCCGCCACCGCCAUCACGAGGGAGAUUGGGCAAUUGCAAGCCAGGCAGUGUGCAACCAGUUCUGAGAGGUGAUCAGUGAUGAGCACGCCAUCGACCCCACAGGCACCUACCACUGGGACAGCGACCUGCAGCUGGAAUGCAUCAGCGUGUACUACAACAAGGCCACUAGGGACAAUGGUGCUGGGAACAACUGGGCCAAGGGGCACUACACAGAAGGCACGGAGCUGGUAGAGUCAGUGCUGGACGUUGUGAGGAAGGAGACUGAGAUCUGUGACCUACUUGCAGGGUUUCCAGUUGACCCACUCCCUGUGUGGGAGGACCGGGUCUAGGAUGGGUACCCUUCUCAUCAGCAAGAUCUGGGAAGAGUACCCAGACAGGAUCAUGAACACGUUCAGUGUGGUGCCCUUGCCCAAAGUGUCAGACACCACCAUCUCAGUCCACCAGCUUGUGGAAAACACAGACAAGACCUAUUGCAUUGAUAAUGAAGCUCUUAUGACAUCUGCUUCAGAACUCUAAAGCUGACCACGCCUACCUACUGUGAUUCUAACCACCUGGUGUCUGCCACCAUGAGUGGGGUCACUACCUGCCUGCACUUCCCAGGACAGCUCAAUGCUGACCUGUGGAAGCUGGCUGUGAACAUGGUCCCGUUCCCCAGCUUGCACUUCUUCAUGCCUGGCUUUGCCCCACUGACCAGCCAGGGCAGCCAGCAGUACCAGGCACUGACAGUGCCUGAGCUCACCCAGCAGAUGUUUGCCACCAAGAACAUGACGGCUGCCUGCGACCCCCGCCAUGGCUGCUACCUGAUGGUGGCUGCUGUGUUCAGGAGCUGCAUGUCCGUGAGGGAGGUGGACAAGCAAAUGCUUAAUGUCCAAAACAAGAACAGCAGCUACUUUAUUGAGUGGAUGCCCAACAAUGUGAAAAGGGCUGUCUGUAACAUCCCGCACCAGGGGCUAAAAAUGUCUACCACCUUCAUGGGCAACAGCCAGGCCUUCCAGGAGCUGUUCAAGCACAUCUUGGAACAGUUCACAGCCAUGUUCUGGCACCAGGCCUUCCUGCACUGGUACAUGGACAAGGGCAUGGACGAGGUGGAGUUCACCAAGACUGAGAGCAAUAUGAAUGGCCUGGUGUCUGAAUACCAGCAGUACCAGGAUGCCACAGCCAAGGAGAAGGGAGAGUUUGAGGAGAUGGCCAAGGAGGAGGUGGCCUCGGGCCUCCAUUCACUGGGGAAAGCAGGGAAUCGGUGUGAACUCUUUAUUCACUCCCAGCCUGUCCUGUCGCCUGUCCCACUGUGUGUGCACUUGCUAUUUUCCCUGUCCACAUCCCAUGCUAUACAGACACCACCAUUAAAGCCUUUUCAUAGUGAAAAAAAAAAUCAGUUAACUAGUUAUCUAGUUAACUAA